UCCGAGUUGACCCCGGCAGUCUCCCAUGAGUCCCCGGCAUAACCCGCUGGCAACAUGGAACGAGGGUUGCGCUCGUUGCGGGACUUAACCCAACAUCUCACGACACGAGCUGACGACAGCCAUGCAGCACCUGUGUCCAGGUCCCGUAAGGGAAGGAAUCCAUCUCUGGAAGCCGUCCUACCAUGUCAAACGCUGGUAAGGUUCUUCGCGUUGCAUCGAAUUAAACCACAUGCUCCACCGCUUGUGCGGGUCCCCGUCAAUUCAUUUGAGUUUCAACCUUGCGGCCGUACUCCCCAGGCGGAGAACUUAACGCGUUAGCUACGACACCGAAGGGCAGACCCCUCCGACAUCCAGUUCUCAUCGUUUAUGGCGUGGACUAC
rnacentral:misc_RNA from 1 species